rnacentral:rRNA from 1 species
UGGAGGAAAGCAGGGGAUCGUAAGACCUUGCGCUUUUGGAGCGGCCGAUGCCUGAUUAGCUAGUUGGUGGGGUAAAGGCUUACCAAGGCAACGAUCAGUAGUUGGUCUGAGAGGACGGCCAGCCACACUGGGACUGAGACACGGCCCAGACUCCUACGGGAGGCAGCAGUGGGGAAUUUUGGACAAUGGGCGCAAGCCUGAUCCAGCAAUGCCGCGUGAGUGGAGAAGGCCUUCGGGUUGUAAAGCUCUUUCAGUCGAGAAGAAAAGAUUGUGACGAAUAAUCACAAUUCAUGACGGUAUCGACAGAAGAAGCACCGGCUAACUACGUGCCAGCAGCCGCGGUAAUACGUAGGGUGCGAGCGUUAAUCGGAAUUACUGGGCGUAAAGGGUGCGCAGGCGGCUUUGUAAGUCAGAUGUGA